CAGUCGCCGCGGUAAUACGUAGGUGGCAAGCGUUGUCCGGAAUUAUUGGGCGUAAAGGGCUCGCAGGCGGUUUCUUUAGUCUGAUGUGAAAGCCCCCGGCUCAACCGGGGAGGGUCAUUGGAAACUGGGAAACUUGAGUGCAGAAGAGGAGAGUGGAAUUCCACGUGUAGCGGUGAAAUGCGUAGAGAUGUGGAGGAACACCAGUGGCGAAGGCGACUCUCUGGUCUGUAACUGACGCUGAGGAGCGAAAGCGUGGGGAGCGAACAGGAUUAGAUACACCAGUAGUCCCUGUCUCUUAUAC
rnacentral:rRNA from 1 species